rnacentral:rRNA from 1 species
UACGUAGGGUGCAAGCGUUGUCCGGAAUUAUUGGGCGUAAAGGGCUCGUAGGCGGUUUUGUCGCGUCGGGAGUGAAAAACCUACAGCUUAACUGUGGGCUUGCUUUCGAUACGGGCAGACUUGAGGCAUGCAGGGGGAGAACGGAAUUCCUGGUGUAGCGGUGAAAUGACGCAGAUAUCAGGAGGAACACCGGUGGCGAAGGCGGUUCUCUGGGCAUGUUCUGACGCUGAGGAGCGAAAAGUGUGGGGGAGCGAACAGG